rnacentral:rRNA from 1 species
AUUGAACGCUGGCGGCAGGCCUAACACAUGCAAGUCGAACGAGCGGCGGACGGGUGAGUAAUGUCUGGGAAACUGCCUGAUGGAGGGGGCUAACUAAUGGAAACGGUAGCUACUACCGCAUACCAUCAGAUGUGCCCAGAUGGGAUUAGGUCGUAGGUGGGGUAAUGGCUCACCUAGGCGACGAUCCCUAGCUGGUCUGAGAGGAUGACCAGCCACACUGGAACGGAGACACGGUCCAGACUCCUACGGGAGGCAGCAGUGGGGAAUCGUGCACAAUGGGCGCAAGCCUGAUGCAGCAAUGCCGCGUGUGUGAAGAAGGCCUUCGGGUUGUAAAGCACUUUCAGCGAGGAGGCGUUACUCGCAGAAGAAGCACCGGCUAACUCCGUGCCAGCAGCCGCGGUAAUAC